rnacentral:tRNA from 1 species
UAGGAAAUGGUGUAAUGGGCGCACUUAGAAGUUCUAAAAUAAAGGUUCAAGUCCUUUUUUCCUAG